rnacentral:rRNA from 1 species
GUCUUGCCUGCUCAUGAUUUUUAAAUUGCCGCAGUAUUCUGACUGUGCAAAGGUAGCAUAAUCAUUAGUUUCUUGAUUGGAAGCUGGAAUGAAAGGUUUGAUGAAAAACUAACUGUCUCUUUUUGAUUUAGUAGAAUUUUACUUUUAAGUAAAAAGGCUUAAAUUUUGUAAAAAGACGAGAAGACCCUAUAGAGUUUUAUUGUUUGGCUUGCUAUAUUUGUAAGUUACAUGAUUAUUUAGUUUUUCAGCUAUUUUGUUGGGGUGAUAAAAAAAUUGGUUUAACUUUUUUUUAUUGUAACAAUAAUUUUUGAAUUUUUGAUCCUUUUGGAUUACGAGAAUAAAUUACCUUAGGGAUAACAGCGUUAUUUUUCCUGAAAGUUCUUAUUGAUGGGGAAUUUUGCGACCUCGAU